rnacentral:ncRNA from 1 species
AACCGCCGUAUACCGAACGGUACGUACGGUGGUGUGGGGGGACGGUAGAUAAAUUAAUUAUCUACCUCCUAC